GCGGGGAUAGCUCAGUUGGGAGAGCGUCAGACUGAAGUGAAAACUUUUCAUUCCGUUCCUUUAUCUAGAUUCUCUAGGUUAGUUUAUCUGAAGGUCGUGUGUUCAAUCCACACUCACCGCA